UUUUUUUUUUUUGUAACUGGCCUGAUCCAGUUUGUUUUUUCUUGUACUUUGUCCAACAUGUAUGGACAUGUGGUGUGGUUGGAAACCGUUUACUACAAAGUGUAACUCCAAAACCACACCAAAGAACCUGUAAAAGUACUACAGUGGAACUUGGAAUUUUUGAACUUAAUUCGUUUCUGAAGGCCGUUCGUGAACCAAAAACUUCACAGCCUUACGACCUUUAGGAACGAAUUAGCUAGCAUGAAAGACUGUACACUCACUAAUUGUUGUAUAAAAUUAUUAUUUGAUGUUUAUUGUUUAUAUAUUUAUUUUAUUUUAUUUAUUUAGUGGGAACCUCAUAAUAUUUCCUCUUUGAUUUGCAAUCCAAGCACAGGCCAAAUUGGACAAUUCUUUGGGCCGAAUUGGGCCCUCGGGCCGCCAGUUGAUAAUUACUGCUCUAUGAGAUAUCUUAAAAAUCUUAAGAAACUCGGUUGAAAUAGAGCAUUCGUAGCGGCCAAGUCUUUUCAAACAGAGAAAGUCACUUUAGAAAGAGGAUAAAAUAGAUCAACGCUAACAUGUCAACGCUAACACGUCAAUCAUUUAAACACUGCUGUAAGCGGUGAGGCGAUGAGUAAGUUUAUCCACACACUAUAACCUCGACACAGGCGACUUGUUCCCAACCUUGUUUUUGGUUUAUUUUUGGAACUGACUUUGCUCAUGAGUGAACCGGGUGGUUUGGUGACAUAUUUCAACGACUUAUAUCAUCGCAGCAACAGACGUCCCCGUCAGCUACAUCUGGGCUCGGUCAGUGUGAAGACACGAUAACUAGGAUUUCUGUGACACGACCCCAAUAAAAUUCAAGGAAAAUGAAAGUGAAAACCAUCGCUUUCUUCUUUGGCCUAAUGCUCUUGCUCGGUACGUCGUCCUCAGAGUAUGCUGACAGUGACGAAGUUAUUCCAGAGGAUGUUGCCCUGUUGAUAUUGGUCAAACCUCGAGAUCCUCAAGUUCCGGAGCCACAACCGUCUCGCAGUCCUUCUGAUGUGGAAAAACCCAGUGGAUAAACGCAGCUUUCCUUCAAUCUGCCGAUGCCAAAAUCCUCAAAUUAAAUAAUAAAAAUCAAACGGUUUAUAUUGAACAUAGUAAUGAUGCCAUUUAAUGUAACAUUACAACCACAAUAAAUAGAUGUUCACCU